CGGAAGAUCCAAGCGUUAUCCGGAAUUACUGGGCGUAAAGAGUUGCGUAGGUGGCAUGUAAAGCGAAUAGUGAAAGGUCCCGGCUCAACCGGGGAUACAUUAUUCGAACUCACAAGCUAGAGCACAGCAGAGGUACCUGGAAUUCCCAGUGUAGGAGUGAAAUCCGUAGAUAUUGGGAGGAACACCGAUGGCGUAGGCAGGGUACUGGGCUGUUGCUGACACUAAGGCACGAAAGCGUGGGGAGCGAACGGGAUUAGAUACCCCGGUAGUCCACGCCGUAAACUAUGGAUGCUAGCUGUUAUCAGUAUCGACCCUGGUAGUAGCGAAGCUAACGCGUUAAGCAUCCCGCCUGUGGAGUACGAGCGCAAGCUUA
rnacentral:rRNA from 1 species